ensembl:lncRNA
CUAUUUCAUAUGGAAAUAGUAAUACAUUAACUCUCAGCCCAGAGGACUGUAGGUCUCUUGUUAUUGUGGCAUAUCUAUUAAAAGAAAAAAAAAAAAAAGAGAGAGAGAGAGAGGGAAAGAAGGGAGUGAACACAGUGUUUCAAAUUGAAAUGGCUUCAGUUGAAGAAAGAUGACUAUCGAGAACACCCACAUACACCACAGAUGGGGACGUUAAACUAGCAGUUUAUUUCUCAGAUCACCUCUCACAUUUAACUGUAUUCAAUAUAAUUUUAAUGAAAUUUGAACUAUUAAAAUGCAAUGAAAUUCAGUGUCUGAGGGA